ACGGAGGUGCAGCUUCUUAUCGGAGGCCAAUCACGAUUGUCAGAAGCCUAAGUGCUACUUCACCUUUUGUACGUUUGUCUUGGGCGCCAGUUUAGGUCUUCUAUAGGUCAAAGAAGCUGCUCUCUUCGCCUUGAUGCCUCUUGUUGGUUGGGGACGAUAAAAGUGCGAAUGUUGCAGCCAGUAAUUGCGAGCACAAAGGAUUGAAAAUUGUAGAUCAACUUGUGCAACUACAAAAUCAGUCAGUAAGAAAAGCAAGGCUAACACAUGGCGGUAGCCCUUUACAUUUUGCGGAGGUUUGCCCUGGUGCUUGUGAGGAACACAAAGUCGGAGUGUGGUGUUCACCCGGCUGUGUUUGUCGCGUGAUGGAUGCCAUUGGCGAACCCCUAUUUUUGUGCUUUGAAGAUGGCAAACCACUUCCACUGGGCUUUCACUGAGCGUGACACAAGUUGCCUUCCUGUAUCAGAUGAAUGUGCUUAUUUAUUGUAUUAUGACUGAAUCCAAAUAAACAUCUUUAUGUCUGAA